rnacentral:rRNA from 1 species
UACGUAGGUGGCAAGCGUUGUCCGGAUUUACUGGGCGUAAAGUGUAUGCAGGCGGAUACUUAAGUAGGAAGUGAAAGGUGGGAGCUCAACUCCCACAUUGCUCCCUAUACUGGGUGUCUUGAGUGGCGGAGAGGGAGAUGGAACGACACGUGUAGCGGUGAAAUGCGUUGAUAUGUGUCGGAACACCAAUGGCGAAAGCAAUCUCCUGGACGCAAACUGACGCUGAGAUACGAAAGCCAAGGUAGCAAACAGG